UUACUCUAUUUUCAUAGUAUCAUCCAAUACUAUCUGAUAAAUUCAUAAUAAUAAUAUUUUUUCAAACAAAAAUUUUAAGCAGGACAAUUAAGUUGAAAAUCCGGUCGAAUAAGCGUUAAUUACAGUAAAGUGAAAAAUUAAUUAUUGGCGCGAAUCACGAAUUUAAAGGGUAAAAUGGAUUGGAUAAAGUCAAUAAUAAUAAUGAAUCCAGUUGGAUAUAGAAGGACCCCACCUAAAGCAUUAGAACAGAACAACAAGUUUCUGCAUAAACUGUUACUACUCAUUGGUGUUCUUCUUCUUCUUUGAUUUCGAGAGGUCAAUAAAGUGACCAACUUUUGUUGCUUUUUCUCAUUCAAUCAAAACCCUCUCUCUCCACUUUUCUCUCUUCUUCUUCUUCGUAUUCUUCAUCUCAAUAAUAAUCUCUUCAUCUUCUUCUCUGCAACUUCUGAUUCUUCCUUCUGUAGACAGACAUGGAUGCUAUUUCACCUCUCAGAGCUGUGUGUGGAAUCGGUGCUCAACACUCCGGGACUAGAAUCGAUCAUGGGCUUUCUGGGUUUUGUUCAUUUUCUCAGGAAAACAAAUCAAAAUCCAAACUUUCACCGGUUAUGACGAGCCUGGAUUUGAAGGAACAUCCCAUGGCUUGAAACCAAACACUCACCGCUUUGUCUUCUUCUUCCUAUGUGGUUCCUGUCAGCAAAAAAAAAACAUCUCUUUUCUUUUUUCUUUAAAACCCAUUUUUUUUUAGAUUCAUAAAGAAAGCUGUUUUGCCAAUAAAUUAGAUAUUUUGUUUGUUUUAGUUAUCUUAUUUUUUUUAGAUUCAUAAAGAAACCAUAAACAUAUUUUUGUAAUCUUAUUUCUUUUGAUUUGGUAUAACUUUUUUAAUAAAUAUAAAUGCCAAUAAAUUAGAUAUUUUGUUUGUUUUAGUUAAAAUAUGUCAAACUGGAAAAUCAAUUGGUUAAUUAAUAUAAUAAAGAUGAACAUAUAAAUUUAAAUAAAUUUUAAAUACUUAACUAUUAAUAUUUUUUUAUGGAUUAGAGUUACUUUGGUUUUGUAUUUUUGAUGCAUAUUUACAAUUAUAUUUAUACAAAUAUGAUAUAUAAAUUGACGUAAAAUUUUAUAUUUGUAAUCAUAUUUAGCUUAUUUUUAUUAAUGCGAGAUAUAUAUAUAUAUAUAUAUAUAUAAUUUAAUUAAUGAUAUAUGAAUUAAUAAUAUAUUAUAAUAUUUUACCAAAAAUAAAUAUUUAUAUGUAAAAUUAACAUUAAUGAUGAUAUAUGAAUUAUUAGUCAUUACCAUAUUUAAAAUUUUUGCAGAAAAAUAUAAGUUUUUAUAAGGAAAUUUUACAUAUCACAAUUUAUAUGAUGCUAUAUUACUAUUUUUUAAAGCCAUGUCAUUCUUUUAUUGUCAUUUCAUAUUUUUUUAGUGGCAUGUCAUCAUUUAUAUGAUGAUAUAUUACUAUUUUUUAAACCCAUGUCAUUUUUUAGUGUCAUGUCAUAUUUUUUAGUGGCAUGUCAUCAUUUUUUUAGCGGGAAUGAUUGUAGUUACGACAUGUGUACAAAUCACUUCGCAUGGAUAACAUUUUUUUUUUUUAAAUAUAUAUAUAUAUAUAUGUAUAUAUCUUGAAAACACCAAUCUUCUACAAUGGAGACAAUAUUUUGAAAUUUACUUAUUUACAUUUUUUUGUUUAUACAUGGUAUAAAUAAUACAUGUAAAUUUUAAUAAUAUCUCUAUUAAAUAUUAUACUUUUUGGUUUACAUUUUUUUAACUUUGGUUGAAGUAAUCUUAGCAAAUUAAUGCGAAAGUAUCUAGCAUAUGACAAACUAUAUGGAUACCAGUUAAUUCGUACUAUUAUUUACUAAUUCACAUAUUAAAAAAAACAAUUUGUGUUGUGGUUUUGACAUUUAUAUGGUGAAAAUAGAAUAUCUUUCUUUUUCUAUGGUUAUCCAACUAUAUUAUUGACCUCACAAAUUUAAACCGAUCUUUUUUUUUUCAGAAUAUUGAAUGUUGAGUAUUAAUUAACGGAGAAUUAACAUGUCAAACAUAUGUUAUAUAAAUGUCAUAGAACAUUUAUAUUUUAUAUGAGGACUAUAUUAUAGCUAUUAUAUAAUAUUAAAGCAUGAUCUUAUUGUUUUUUUACUAUUAUUGUCCCUACUAUUAUUGCCGUACCUCCUACAACACCAGCCAGACCACCUCCUCCAGCACCUUGGACACCU
rnacentral:lncRNA from 1 species